rnacentral:lncRNA from 1 species
CUGUUUACUGCUCCUAAGAAGUACUGUAUUUUGACACACCAGAAAGAGCGUGCUUCUACAUUCCUAUACAUUUGCAAAUUCCAUGGGACAGGGCCACAGAGUGAGGAUCUGCUGCCACAGCCUUUUCGAUCCCAGGAAUGAUGGCUUCUUGAGUAAUUAUGAAUGAUGAAGUAAUCAAAGUUUUUAAUGACAUGAAAGUUUGGCCUAAACAAAUAGCCUGUUGAGGACCUUUUGGAUCCUGACUCUGUUACCCAGGGGGUUCCUCCUAACUUUGCUUCAUCUGAAGUUGUACUUUCCCCAUCACCACCUGGAUCUCAUGAGAAUUGGCUCAGCUUUGUUCUUUUCCCAAGAGAAUGUCGCAACCAAGUUCAUGUCCAGAGGCAGCAUUGCUGCCAGAUGAGUCUUUGUUUUAGCUGCUAUGACCACAACUCUCCCACUUUGCCACAUUAUAUGCCGGACCUGUAUUAUAUAUGUCUCCUAAGUAUGACUAAAUAAGUAGUAGUAUAUAAAUGUAAUGUAAUACUAUUGUUCCAUAAAGAAAUGAUGAAUAAACAGAAAAACCUAGGAAGACUUAUAUGAAGU